GCCAGCGUGGCGUAGUGGUUUGAGCGUUAGGCUACGACUCUGGUAGACUUGGGUUCGAUUCCCGGCUCUGCCA